rnacentral:rRNA from 1 species
GCUACGGCCAUACCAGCCUGGGUACGCCCGAUCUCGUCUGAUCUCGGAAGCUAAGCAGGGUCGGGCCUGGUUAGUACUUGGAUGGGAGACCGCCUGGGAAUACCAGGUGCUGUAAGCA